GUCCAAUUCAUCCUGCUUUCCUCGUAUUGCCGAUGAAGAAACAGAUUGGAGAAACAAAAUUGGUCAAAGUUUCACAACUGUUAUGGUUGAGCUGAAGGUAUUUCAGGACAUUUUCCCUUUGCACUGAACACAUGUACUUGUCAAGUUUCUGUCAUUUCUUUUUCUUUCUCUCCUUCUUCAAACGCUGAUGGCUUUUGAUUGAGUCAGCCAAAUACUUGCCGAGCCUGAUCUGUUCAAGUGAGCGAGGAAGGAUGGCUUAGUGGCAGCUGAUCACACAAGGCAGAAUUUUGAGGCCAACAUUGAUGCAUCCAUGGAAGUGGAGGCCACACCUUCUGACACCGUUGUGUUGGGGAUUAAAUUCUCAACGUGCACUUUCAGGACACACGUCAGACCACACAGACACCGCGCAGAUACCAUGAGCAGAGCAGAGACUUGAGGGAAUAUUCUGCUGCAGGAGAGAGGAAAAAGGCUAAGCCGACAAGCAAGCAUGGUCUUUGGUGGAUGGUGCAGAUGGGACACAGCAAGUUAGGCAGAUGGCUAUGCCGUAGACAUCCAACAAGGAGUAACAAGUGGAACCCUGGCAACAAGUGGGGCCCCCGAGGGCCAUCCAGAGUGCUGCAGAUCCAGACGGCAGGCAGCAGCAAGGCUUACCAACAACACAGAAGAAAUAAAGAUCAGUCACUCUUGUGGGCAGAACAUCACCUCUCCCAGGUGCCCUGCCUAUGGUCUGCUCUGUGGACCCAGGGUUUUGAAACACAGGCUCACUGACAGUUGGCAGAGCCUAAAUUAUUCAUGCAUUCUUUGAUUUAAC
ensembl:lncRNA